CGGACGGGUGAGUAACGCGUGGAUAACCUGCCUCACACUGGGGGAUAACAGUUAGAAAUGGCUGCUAAUACCGCAUAAGCGCACAGUACCGCAUGGUACGGUGUGAAAAACCCAGGUGGUGUGAGAUGGAUCCGCGUCUGAUUAGCCAGUUGGCGGGGUAACGGCCUACCAAGGCGACGAUCAGUAGCCGACCUGAGAGGGUGACCGGCCACAUUGGGACUGAGACACGGCCCAA
rnacentral:rRNA from 1 species